rfam:Branchiostoma floridae genomic scaffold BRAFLscaffold_211, whole genome shotgun sequence.
CCUGACAUCUUACUUGGCAGCAUUCGAUGUGUUUCCAUAUUCAAAUACUGCCUGGUAAUGAUGCCAGU